GCCGCGUUACGACAUUUCUGUCGUUUCCGAAACUACCCUCCCACUCUCUCGCUCGCUUAGCUCAGCCACUCGCUCGCUGGCUCUCGAACCCCUAGCUCACCGCCACCGGCGCCUCUCCGUCGCACGCGUUGCCGGCGCCUCUACCCCGCACGCAGCGCCUCCGCCUCUCCCUCUCGCGUCGUCGCCGCCUUUCCAUGUUGCCAUACACCGUCGCCUCUCCCUCUUCAAGAUUUCAUUUUUACUCCAGCGGCUAGAUCUGAAGCGCGGCUGCUCCACCUUCCUCAGGGUUGCGGGGAUCUCCGGCGGCUGGAUCUGAAGCGCGGCUGCUCCACCUUCCUCAGGGUGGCGGGGAUCUCCGGCUCGCUGCGCAUGGGAAGGGCCCGACCGCCGGCGGCCGCUGCGGGCAGAAUGGGAACUGCGUCGGCGACGUCGUCGGCGUCCCAGGGACAGGGCACGGCGGCACGCACUGCGGGACAGGGCACGGCGGCACGCACUGCGUGACAGGGCACGGCGACACGCACUGCCGUUGCCGCCGUCCGCCAGCGCGCCGCUGGCUGACAGGAGCAGCCACAACCACGAGGCCACGACGAGCAGGACUGUUGGCGACGGGUUGGUGCAGUCCCGCGAGGACCGCGCCGUGUGGGAUGCCGAGAUGACGUUGCCGGAGAAGGAGUCUCCGACUACCUCACGCCCACCGCUGGCCUGCACAUCAGGUCGCCGAGCCCGUACGCCGGUGUGAGCAGCCUGGGUUGCCGGGUGCUCGCCGUCCGGCAGCACACCACGGUGCGACACGGGGUGGUGGAGGCCGAGGCUCACCUAGGUCGAACCAUAUGGUGGCAGUAGGAGGGGACAGAGCACCGUGUGGUGUGAGCGCCGAUUGAAAAUCACCAGCGAGUCCUACUUCAACUACGAUGCAAUGUGGAGUGAAGUUGAGGUCUGGGAGAUCCAUUUUCUCCUGAAGAUAUGAAUAUGUAAGAUGAAGUAGAAGUACAAGUAGAAGCACAAGGUAAUCUAUCUUAUGUUAGUUAACUUGCACCCAAAUGUAAAACGUACAUGACUAUAUUAAAGAAAUAAUUGAACAUCAUUGUAUAAUGUACUUCAUGUCAUGACUAUAACCAUACAUGACUAUAUCAAACAGUUCACAGUUGAUUUGACUUCAGUGGAGACCAAUAUGGUUAGUCUGUUGUUCCAUCUAUCUACUGAGCUUGAUGUUUUCAGAUUAAAUAUCAUGUUUGUGACCUCCGGCCAUGUAUUCCCUUCGCUAGGUAUUUUUUGAUAUGGCGGAUCCACGUAUAACACCUGGCAAACUAUGCCAAGCCCUGGAAACUGUUCAGGCAAUAUUGUGAACAGUCGAUGCAGGGUAGAACUGCUUAAUGAUACACAUGAGUCUGAUUUUCAGGUGGCCAAAUACACACGAGUCUAAACAAGACAUGGGUCUGCUUUCCUCUUAAGCAGAUAUGAUCAUCAAGCUGUUUCCAGUGACAGCAGCGGAGCCUGGGGAGAGGAGAUGAACCUGGGCCUGGGGUGAGGACAGCCUGGGAUGAGGAGAGCCUGGGCAGCAGCCGAGCCUAGCUCCAGCUCGCCUCAACCUGGGCGGACUUGGAGAGGAGGAGUCCCUGGAGAUGGAGAGGAGUCCCUGGGCAUGGAGAGGAGGAGCGCCUGGGCGCCUGCGUUGGUCUGGAUGGAGGUGGAGCUAUGGCGCCUGGAGGUCUGGGGUGGAGCGCCGGCGAGGGAGCUUCUGAUCGCAGCGGGGAAGGGCGAUCAAAGAGGGGAUCUGGCUCUCGAUUGGAGCGGCGCAGGCAGCCGGCGGGGAAGGACGCCGGAGAUGCGGACGACGGAGGAGCCUGGCGAAGGGGGGGGAGGGACGGAGUCCUCCUCCGCCUGGCGAAGGGGAGGAGCGACGGAGUCCUGGCGGAGGGAAGGAGCGAUGGAGAAAGACGACGACCUGAGCGCGAUUUCAAUUCGGGGGCAGUUUUGUAAUUUCACUACUUUUCACCUGGUCGGAAAAGACCCCCCAGCGACAAUUAUUUCGGAACGGAGGGAGUAUUUCCUUAUAUCAUGAUAAAUGUUUAUUAUUCAUGCUAGAAUUGUAUUAACCGGAAACUUGAUACAUGUGUGGAUACAUAGACAAAACACAGUGUCCCUAGUAAACCUCUACUAGACUAGCUCGUUAAUCAAAGAUGGUUAAGU